UACGUAGGGUGCGAGCGUUGUCCGGAAUUACUGGGCGUAAAGAGCUCGUAGGUGGUUUGUCGCGUUGUUCGUGAAAUUCCCUGGCUUAACUGGGGGCGUGCGGGCGAUACGGGCAGACUGGAGUACUGCAGGGGAGACUGGAAUUCCUGGUGUAGCGGUGUAAUGCGCAGAUAUCAGGAGGAACACCGGUGGCGAAGGCGGGUCUCUGGGCAGUAACUGACGCUGAGGAGCGAAAGCGUGGGGAGCGAACAGG
rnacentral:rRNA from 1 species